GCCGCUGUGGUGAAAUUGGUAUACACGCCAGACUUAAAAUCUUGUGGUAGCAAUACCGUGUGGGUUCGAUUCCCGCCAGCGGCA
rnacentral:tRNA from 1 species